rnacentral:rRNA from 1 species
GGACUACCGGGGUUUCUAAUCCUGUUUGAUCCCCACACUUUCGUGCCUCAGCGUCAGUUACAGCCUAGUAAGCUGCCUUCGCUAUAGGUGUUCUUGACGAUAUCUAAGCAUUUCACCGCUACACCGUCAAUUCCGCCUACCUCAUCUGUACUCAAGCUCCGCAGUAUCAAUGGCACCUCGAUAGUUGAGCUACCGUAUUUCACCACUGACUUACAAAGCCGCCUACGCACCCUUUAAACCCAAUAAAUCCGGACAACGCUUGCCACCUACGUAUUACCGCGGCUGCUGGCAC